UACGUAGGGGGCAAGCGUUGUCCGGAUUUAUUGGGCGUAAAGAGCGUGUAGGCGGCCUGACAGGUCUGCUGUGAAAACUCGAGGCUCAACCUCGAGAUGUCGGCGGAAACCGUCUGGCUAGAGUCCGGAAGAGGAGAGUGGAAUUCCUGGUGUAGCGGUGAAAUGCGCAGAUAUCAGGAAGAACACCUAUGGCGAAGGCAGCUCUCUGGGACGGUACUGACGCUGAGACGCGAAAGCGUGGGGGGCGAACAGG
rnacentral:rRNA from 1 species